UCAGUAGGGGGUAUAGCUCAGUGGUAGAGCGCUCGCUUAGCAUGAGAGAGGGCUGGGGUUCAAUUCCCCAUACCAGAA
rnacentral:tRNA from 1 species